rnacentral:rRNA from 1 species
AGAGCGAGAGACACACGCGCACAGUCACACCGAGCGAGAGAGAAAAUAAAGGGGGCUCGUCGGGCUCGUGCAGGGUCGAGAGAGAAAAAAAAGAGAGAGAGCUCGCUCAUUCCCAUUCCCAUCCCAUCCCCUCCCCUCGUCGGAGCCGCGCCGCCGCCCGCCAAUCCGCCGCCGCCGCCCAUGUCAAAGACGCCGGGGAAGACGCCGCGGACGCCCAGGCGGAUCCUGGAGUCCUACACCAUCAAGGGAUCCGACGGCGUCAUCCGCCCUGGGGACUCUGUGCUGAUGAAGGCGCCCGACACAUCAAAGCCUCCGUAUGUGGCCAAGAUUGAGGAAAUCGAGGCAGCAGGACCUCGGGGCGCAAAUGUCAAGGUUAAAGUGCGCUGGUACUACCGACCAGAGGAGUCUAUUGGUGGGCGCAGGCCAUUCCAUGGCGAAAAGGAGGUGUUCCUCUCUGACCACCAAGAUGUGCAGAGUGCUGACACCAUAGAGUGCAAGUGCAACGUUUACAGCUUCCGGGACUACACCAAGCUUUCUGCUGUCAAUCCUGAGGACUAUUUUUGCCGCUUCGAGUACAAGUCAAUCACAGGCAGCUUUGUGCCUGAUCGCAUUGCUGUGUUUUGUAAGUGUGAGAUGCCAUACAACCCUGAUGAUCUUAUGAUCCAGUGUGAGGAAUGCUCUGAUUGGUUUCACCCUGCUUGUAUUGGAAAGACCAUCAAAGAAGCAAAGAAACUUGAGAAUUUUACAUGCGAAGGUUGUGUUGCUGAAAAUGGAAAUGGAAAUGGAGUCAAGAACGAAAAUUCCCAUGAAUCUACUGGUGAAUCAGAUGAGAAGCAGGUGCAGUCGAAGCGGCGACGGCGGUGAAGGCGAAGGCGAUCUGGGCGGAAGUCCUCCAUCUCUUCACGCAUGUGUUGCGGUGGAUGUACAUUGCUGUUUCCAGUUUGAUGUAGAACGAACCUGUAUUGAGAGUGUCUUCUAGAGUCUGGCAAUCGGCCAGUUUGCGACUUUGCAUAUCCAUGUGGACCUACCAGUUAGAGGGAGUCAUUUUUCUCUCUUCUUUUUUCCGUCCCCCCUUUGUGUUGACUUGGACAAUGGUGAGUGAGCUUAAAGUCCUUUCUUCAUUGACUAGAAAAACAGGAUACCUUUUCUUUUUUUGAGGGAAGAAAGGAUAUCAACUGAAUUCCCUUUUACUAGAAAAAGUUUUUUUAAAAAGCUCAAUCUUUUUUUAGGGAACAAAAAGCUCAAUCUAUUUUUAGGGAACAAAAAGCUCAAACUAUUUUCUUUUUGAGAAAAAAAAGCUCAAACUAUUACUAUCUCUCGGUUGAGCAAGAAAAAGGACCAAACUAAAGCCUGGACGUCGAGCUGGAGGCGUGGCAAGUUGGCCCAGUACGAGCGACCAUUAUGGGCCGAGCCCACGGGCCACGCCUCAUCACCGGCCCAUAACUAAACCCCGCGGCUUAUCCCCAACUCCCGGCGCUGCACUGACUGACACCACCACCAGUGGCAGCAGCAGCACAGCAAUGGCGACGCUUCUCCUCCCCUCCCACGCGGCGAGCCACCACCGCCGCGCCGUCUUCUCCGGCGGCGCGCACCACCACCCGCUUCUCCAGCCGGACCUCCUCGCGGAUGCCCUGCACGCCGCGGCGAGCAGGAGGCGCAGGCCCAUCGCGGUGGCGUGCCGGGCGGCGUCAGCGGCGGCCAGGGCCAAGGCUCCCCCGAGCGCGGGCGCGGGCCCGCCGCCGCAGGCGCUGGCCAAGGAGGCGCACAAGUAUUUCGACCACGCGGUCGUCAGCGUGCGCGCGGGCGACGGCGGCCACGGCGCCGUCCUGAACAUGCCGCCGGGUCCCUCCGCGGACUCGGCCCCCGCCAAGACCCGCGGCGGCGGCAGAGCCGCCGACAAGGGCAAGGCCAAGAAGGGCAGCGGGAAGAAGGUGUCGUUCAAGCGGAACUACGACGGGUCGGUGUCGCUGCCCGUUGGCGGGCACGGCGGCGACGUGGUGCUGUACGCCGACGAGGCGGAGGAGUCGCUGCUGGGGUUCCACGCCAAGGCCCGGCACUGCGCCAAGAGGGGCGGCAACGUGGGGGCCACCGGCACCCUCAGCUCCCGGAUGCACAACGGCUUCGCCGGGGAGACGCUCAGGAUACCCGUGCCUGUAGGCACCGUCGUGAGGCGCAAGAAGGGGUCUGUUCUUGCUGAUUUGGCCCAUCCUGGUGAUGAGGUGCUCGUCGCUAGGGGUGGACAGGGCGGGAUUAGCUUGAUCGAUGCGCCCGAUUACAAAAGAGGGAAAGCCAUGGCUUUAUCGCCUAAUGUCAUGCGUGAUGUUACUGAUAAGAUAUUAACUCAUGGCCAGCCUGGUGAGGAAAUAAGCUUGGAGUUAAUCUUAAGGGUGGUUGCAGAUGUUGGCCUUGUGGGACUUCCAAAUGCUGGAAAAUCAACACUUCUAUCAGCUAUAACACUUGCAAGACCAGACAUUGCUGACUAUCCAUUCACUACAUUGAUGCCAAAUCUUGGCCGGCUUGGUGGAGAUCCUACUUUAGGGGCUAUGCAGUUUUCCUCUGGAGCAACAUUGGCAGAUUUGCCAGGUCUUAUUGAGGGCGCUCAUCUGGGCAAGGGUCUUGGUCGCAAUUUCUUGAGACAUUUGAGGAGAACGAGGGUAAUUGUCCACGUCGUUGAUGCUGCUGCUGAUGACCCUGUGAACGAUUAUAAGAUUGUCAGAGAUGAAUUAAGGAUGUAUAACCCCAAAUACCUGGAGCGGCCUUAUGUUGUGGUCCUGAACAAGAUUGAUCUUCCUAAGGCCCAAGAUAUGUUAUCUUCAUUAGCACUUGAAAUAUCUUCAGUAGGCUGUGAAGAAUGCCACGACAGCAAUACCAGCAAAGAAAAGCUAAAUGAAAAUUUCAACAGACACCAUAUGUCAGAGGACGAUGAUAAGGAACUUGGGGACUAUCCAAGACCUCAAGCUGUAAUCGGUGCAAGCGUACUGAGGCACAUCGGGAUCGACGAGAUGCUGAAGGAAAUCAGGACAGCCCUGGGAAAAUGCUCCGAUCACAUGUUACCAGGACCAUGAAUCUGAAAGCCUGCACGCUGGAGCCCUUAACAUCAGUCCAACACCUGGAAAGGAUCGAGACGGAUCGACUGGUUCUUCAAAAACAGCGUCAGUCGAGUCUGUCCUUUGCUCAUGACACCGUUGGCAAUUCCUGGAGGACAAAAACUACCAGUCUGAUUGUCCAAAAUCCUGACGCGGAGCGCUUCAGCGUCUUCCACGUUAGCUUGAGCACGAGCAGUUGCAGAUAUCCAGGCUACACCUCCAUCUGUAUUCAGUGCCAGAGAUAGAAAUAAAUCAGUUGUGUGAAAUAUUGAAAAACUAAUGGGGACUCGAAUAUAUUCGUCUGCACGUAUUAGUGAAGAUUUGAGAAUCAUAUCUUCCGUACUAAAUGACUAGUAGAAAUUGUCUAUAUGGACUGAUUAAUUGUUCUCUCUGCUUUACUUAUAUAGCUGAGUAACUGACAAAGCUUUGGCCUUUACAAAUAGUUUGUUUAAUGCUCAUAUUUGUUCUUCAUUUACACAUUGUCCAUAUCCAUAUGUAUGUUGUGCUAUAUAUUGAAAACUAGUGUCAACAAAAAUGUGCACAUUUUGUG